UGGGGAAUAUUGCACAAUGGGGGAAACCCUGAUGCAGCAACGCCGCGUGAGUGAUGACGGUCUUCGGAUUGUAAAGCUCUGUCUUCAGGGACGAUAAUGACGGUACCUGAGGAGGAAGCCACGGCUAACUACGUGCCAGCAGCCGCGGUAAUACGUAGGUGGCAAGCGUUGUCCGGAUUUACUGGGCGUAAAGGGAGCGUAGGUGGAUAUUUAAGUGGGAUGUGAAAUACUCGGGCUUAACCUGGGUGCUGCAUUCCAAACUGGAUAUCUAGAGUGCAGGAGAGGAAAGUAGAAUUCCUAGUGUAGCGGUGAAAUGCGUAGAGAUUAGGAAGAAUACCAGUGGCGAAGGCGACUUUCUGGACUGUAACUGACACUGAGGCUCGAAAGCGUGUGGAGCAAACA
rnacentral:rRNA from 1 species